rnacentral:rRNA from 1 species
AUGGUUUCUCUUACGAGUUUGUGCGGGUGCCGCAGCAGAAAAACACCCAUGAAGAUAAUCUUGAUAUUAGGAAAACAUUCCUGUAUACCUACGCAACUAGUGAUUUGUUUGAUGUUAACUUUCGUGGUUUGUUUGGCAUCGAACCUUGUGAGUGGCUGGAUCUUGAUGAGCAUGAUUAUAGGAUCUUUGGCAGCCAGUUCUCAGAGAAGGUCUGGUGUUAUUAAGGGGUGGUUGGGAGCUAUGAAAGGUUCUAUGGCUGCUUGUGCAGAGAGCCCCUCUACACCCAAGAAUCCCAUUGUGGAAUUGAUAGACAGCGAUGAUGAUGCGUUUGACAAGAUUGCUGGCAUGGGAAGAGUUACCAGGAGCGCUGCUGCUGCCAAGGGUUUAUCCCCACUUGCUGGAAUAGUGGCCCGUAGAGCUGGUGGUGCUAGGAAGGAUCCUGCUUUGGAUUCUGGCAAUGUCACAAGCACGAAGCGUGCACCAAGAGCUCCUAUAAAGUUUUGCUCCCCUGUGCAGCAGCUUCACCCUCAUAAAUUCCCUCACCUGGAGAUGGCUCGCAAGUUGUAUAAUCUGUUGCUUAGUGAUGAAGCAUGUGAGAAGUAUGCCGAGAAUACAUUCUCAAUGAUACCUCAGCCCGAUGAUAGUGUAACCAGCUUCACCGGGAAACACAUCUGGGAAGUUUUUGCACCUGGGCAAAUGAUGGAGGGUGAUGUAAUGGACUUCCUCAUUGAUGAUUGGAAGAAAGAUCCCGAUAGAAAUGUUAAUUUUGCGUCUGGAAAAAGGGUAUUGCUGAGUCCAUAUUUCAUCAGGUUGUGCUUGACUUUACAUUUUACGGUGACGAAAAUAAAGAGUUUAAUGUGA